rnacentral:rRNA from 2 species
ACGGGUGAGUAACACGUGGGUAACCUGCCCUUAAGUGGGGGAUAACAUUUGGAAACAGAUGCUAAUACCGCAUAGAUCCAAGAACCGCAUGGUUCUUGGCUGAAAGAUGGCGUAAGCUAUCGCUUUUGGAUGGACCCGCGGCGUAUUAGCUAGUUGGUGAGGUAACGGCUCACCAAGGCGAUGAUACGUAGCCGAACUGAGAGGUUGAUCGGCCACAUUGGGACUGAGACACGGCCCAAACUCCUACGGGAGGCAGCAGUAGGGAAUCUUCCACAAUGGACGCAAGUCUGAUGGAGCAACGCCGCGUGAGUGAAGAAGGCUUUCGGGUCGUAAAACUCUGUUGUUGGAGAAGAAUGGUCGGCAGAGUAACUGUUGUCGGCGUGACGGUAUCCAACCAGAAAGCCACGGCUAACUACGUGCCAGCAGCCGCGGUAAUACGUAGGUGGCAAGCGUUAUCCGGA